ACCUGGCUCGCUCAGUCGGGGGAGCACAGGACUCUUGAUCUCGGGAUCGUGGGUUCAAGCCCCACGUUGGGUG
rfam:Felis catus isolate Cinnamon breed Abyssinian chromosome F1, whole genome shotgun sequence.